AUGAACGCUGGCGGCGUGCCUAAUACAUGCAAGUCGAGCGAACAGACGAGGAGCUUGCUCCUCUGACGUUAGCGGCGGACGGGUGAGUAACACGUGGAUAACCUACCUAUAAGACUGGGAUAACUUCGGGAAACCGGAGCUAAUACCGGAUAAUAUAUUGAACCGCAUGGUUCAAUAGUGAAAGACGGUUUUGCUGUCACUUAUAGAUGGAUCCGCGCCGCAUUAGCUAGUUGGUAAGGUAACGGCUUACCAAGGCGACGAUGCGUAGCCGACCUGAGAGGGUGAUCGGCCACACUGGAACUGAGACACGGUCCAGACUCCUACGGGAGGCAGCAGUAGGGAAUCUUCCGCAAUGGGCGAGAGCCUGACGGAGCAACGCCGCGUGAGUGAUGAAGGUCUUCGGAUCGUAAAACUCUGUUAUUAGGGAAGAACAAAUGUGUAAGUAACUAUGCACGUCUUGACGGUACCUAAUCAGAAAGCCACGGCUAACUACGUG
rnacentral:rRNA from 1 species